GCUGCCUCCCCACUCUCUCUCACCCCUCAAGCUCCCCCCUCAAAUCCUCUCCAAAAGGCAUGGCUUCAUCCGGUUCCAGGACGAGGCCACCGUGCGCGGACCAAGAGGACAUGCCGAAGACGUGGUUGGAGGCCAGUUUGGACAAGAAGAAGGAGAAGGAUGUGCCCACACCACCAUGUUGGUGUGGUGAUGUUUGCAAGCUGAAGGUGUCCACUGACCGCAACAAGUCAUGGACAGAAGGUAGAAGGUUUUUCGUGUGUCCCAACUAUGCACAUGAUCGUCGAAGGCCAACUAACGCAUAUGACAUACCACCGUCCCCUCCUCCACUUUGCAAGUACUUCACUUGGAUAGAUCACGAGGUACCAAAAGAUAUCCAAGAGGACCAACGUGCAGAUUGGUUACGGAGGCAGCGCCUAUUCGAGGAGUCCUAU